AAUCAACGCUGGCGGCGUGCCUCAGACAUGCAAGUCGAACGCGAAAGUCCCCUUCGGGGGACAAGUAGAGUGGCGCACGGGUGAGUAACACGUAGGUAAUCUACCUUCGGAUGGGGAAUAACAACCGGAAACGGUUGCUAAUACCGCAUAAUGCAGCGGCACCUAAUGGUGACAGUUGUUAAAGCGGGGGGAUCGAAAGACCCCGCGUCUGAAGAGGAGCCCUGCGGCGGAUUAGCUAGUGGUAAGGUAAUGGCUUACCAAGGCGACGAUCCGUAGCCGGCCUGAGAGGGGCGGUCGGCCACACUGACACUGACAUACGGGUCAGACUCCUACGGGAGGCAGCAGUCGGGAAUUUUGGGCAAUGGGCGAAAGCCUGACCCAGCAACGCCGCGUGAAGGA
rnacentral:rRNA from 1 species